rnacentral:rRNA from 1 species
CCUACGGGAGGCUGCAGUGGGGAAUAUUGGACAAUGGGCGAAAGCCUGAUCCAGCCAUGCCGCGUGUGUGAAGAAGGCCUUCGGGUUGUAAAGCACUUUCAGUGGGGAAGAAAGCCUUGGGGCUAAUACCCUCGAGGAAGGACAUCACCCACAGAAGAAGCACCGGCUAACUCCGUGCCAGCAGCCGCGGUAAUACGGAGGGUGCGAGCGUUAAUCGGAAUUACUGGGCGGAAAGCGCGCGUAGGCGGUCUGAUAAGCCGGUUGUGAAAGCCCCGGGCUCAACCUGGGAACGGCAUCCGGAACUGUCAGGCUAGAGUGCAGGAGAGGAAGGUAGAAUUCCCGGUGUAGCGGUGAAAUGCGUAGAGAUCGGGAGGAAUACCAGUGGCGAAGGCGGUCUUCUGGACUGACACUGACGCUGAGGUGCGAAAGCGUGGGUAGCAAACAGGAUUAGAUACCCGUGUAGUC